rnacentral:rRNA from 1 species
AUUGAACGCUGGCGGCAGGCCUAACACAUGCAAGUCGAGCGGGGGUAGCAAUACCCUAGCGGCGAACGGGCGAGGAAUGUUUGGGAAUCUGCCUCGUAGUGCGGGAUAACGUUCCGACAGGAACGCUAAUACCGCAUACGCCCUACGGGAGAAAGGGGGGGAUCAUCGGACCUCUCGCUAUGCGAUGAGCCCAAGCGGGAUUAGCUAGUUGGUAGGGUAAAGGCUCACCAAGGCGACAACCCCUAGCUGGUCUGGGAGGAUGAUCAGCCACACUGGAACUGAGACACGGUCCAGACUCCUACGGGAGGCAGCAGUGGGGAAUAUUGGACAAUGGGCGCAAGCCUGAUCCAGCCAUGCCGCGUGUGUGAAGAAGGCCUUCGGGUUGUAAAGCACUUUAAGCGAGGAGGAAGGUUCGUUACUUAAUACGUAACGGAAUUGACGUUACUCGCAGAAUAAGCACCGGCUAACUCUGUGCCAGCCGCCGCCGUAAGAC